CCCCCCCACCCAUUUAAAUCCACUCCUCUCGCACUCUCCACUUAAACACACCGUCCUCCUCAAGCCCGCCAGCCCGUCCCAACCCGGCCCCUGGAGGAGAGGAAACGUCGGUAGCACGAGCUCCGCACCGCGGCCCCAUCACUGCUGCCUCUCGCUUACACGGUAACAUGGUCUGCAGGGCUCGGCUGCUGUAGCCAAGGGCCACGUAGUCACCCAGCAAGGUAGCCAGUCAGCCAGUUUAUGUGUGUGAGCAGUAAGAAGCCGAAGCAGUAGGAAGAAGACGGAGAGGCUACCGGAGGAAGCGCCGGAGGAAGCGUCCAGAGCAAGCCCAGCAUCCCUGCAUCUCUACGCAGCUGUCCCGCACAGCGGCCCCGCUGAACCGGAGCACGGCCCCGCUCCCCCCCACAGACACUACUUCGGCUUUAUCGGGUGGGAAAAGCAGCCCGGCCAUUACGCUAGUCACUGUCGUUGUCAAGGAAACAAAGAGUCCUGUCCCGUUGCCAUGGGGAAACAGAACAGCAAGCUGCGGCCAGAGAUGCUGCAGGACCUCCGGGAGAAUACCGAGUUCUCCGACCACGAGCUGCAGGAGUGGUACAAGGGUUUCUUGAAGGAUUGUCCAAGUGGAACCCUGAACGUGGAGGAGUUCAAGAAAAUCUACGCCAAUUUCUUCCCCUACGGUGACGCUUCCAAGUUCGCUGAGCACGUCUUCCGAACGUUCGACACCAACGCCGACGGGACGAUAGACUUCCGGGAGUUCAUCAUCGCCCUGAGCGUGACGUCACGGGGCAAACUGGAGCAGAAGCUGAAAUGGGCCUUCAGCAUGUACGACCUGGACGGAAACGGGUACAUCAGCCGCGACGAGAUGCUGGAGAUUGUACAGGCCAUCUACAAGAUGGUGUCGUCAGUGAUGAAGAUGCCCGAGGAUGAAUCCACGCCAGAGAAGAGGACGGACAAGAUCUUCAGACAAAUGGACCUCAAUAAUGAUGGCAAGUUGUCCCUGGAGGAGUUUAUCAAAGGUGCCAAAAGCGACCCGUCCAUCGUGCGGCUACUCCAGUGCGACCCCAGCUCGGCCUCCCAGUUCUGAACCCCUUGACCCCGCUCCCCAACCUCCGCCCCACCCCGCCCCCCCGCCCCCGCUGCAACCAGUUCACUGAAAUCAAUGCAUGAUGGUCCCCCGUUUCUCCUAUCUCUUUUUCUUUUCUUUUUCGUUGUCGUGUGCGAUGAUGGAGGAGGGAAGGAGGAUGGAGGAUAAGAAAAGCCAUCACUCAUCAUUUUACUUUCCUUUUUUUACAUUUGGGAAAACUGAAAGGACAUGCAUACAUUUUAAUGAUCAGUCAACAGUGGCGUCCGCUAAUGUCCCCGCAUAGCGCUCUCUCUCUCUCUCUCUCUCUCUCUCUCUCUCUCUGGAUGGACAGACAUUCCGGGGAGCUGCAUGGGGAUUGGUCAGUUUGUCCUCCAACACACAUGUACAUCCUGUAUAUAUAAUGUACGUCUAUGUAUAUCAUCAGAUGAACUCUGUCUUCAUGCAUGGUGCCCACUCUCUGGCAUUGAAAUGCAGUAUUAUGUAGCGUAGCUAGAGGUUUAUGGGUGGGAGUUUUGUUUUGUUUUCUUUUUUAUGGGGGGUGUCUAAAAAAGGCCUAAGAUCUCAUUUGCUUUUUACUGCUAUAUACUGGCAUUGUGUAGAUUCACACAUUUCAAAUGUUUGUUAUUUUUUCAUUUGUACAUAUGGUUGUCUUCCUCCAUGUUUCAUUUAUUUAUUAAUUUUUAGUCUUAUUAUUGUGCUUAUACUUUGACAUGUCGUUAAAGAUGACCGUGUGCCAGUUUACAGUGACAGAGGGAGAGAGAGAGAGAGAGAAGAUGGGGAUCCCGUAAAGAGUUCGAUCAACGACACCAGUAGCACGUCUUGUUUGAGCCGCCAUGUGUUGAUAAAGCAUGGCAGUGUGUGUGUGUGUGCAUGCGUGCGUGCGCGUGUGUGUGUGUAUAUGCACUGUGUGCUCGGGGCUAACUUUUACAGUAUUAUUAUCAUGUACUAUUAUCACAUGUUGUUUCUUAAUUUGUAAGUAUUUUGAAGUUCUUUAAAAUGCUUAUAUUGUGCUUUUUUGGCUUUUCACUUUCCUUUAUUGUGUUAUAUAUAUCUUUUUUGUGCAUGUU